rnacentral:lncRNA from 1 species
CGGCUCUCUCCCGGCGGGUUCUCCCUGUUCGACACGUGCUACGACCUGAGCGGGCGCAAGGUGGUGAAGGUGCCGACCGUGUCGAUGCACUUCGCCGGUGGCGCGGAGGCGGCUCUGCCCCCGGAGAACUACCUGAUCCCGGUGGACUCGAAAGGGACGUUCUGCUUCGCGUUCGCGGGCACGGACGGCGGCGUGUCCAUCAUCGGCAACAUACAGCAGCAGGGCUUCCGGGUGGUGUUCGACGGCGACGGCCAGCGCGUCGCCUUCGUGCCCAGGGGCUGUUAAGAUAUGAGGAGUAACGUCGCUUGAUUAGCGGAUAAAAGUACGGCUUUGUCAGUCAUAAUUUAAUCAUGAGGGGUUUAGUUAAGGUGAUGGGUGAGAGCUUUGGAUGCUGUGAAAGCCCUGGCGGUGCGCAGAGUUGUCGGGCAGGGUAAGGUGCGAGGAUAAGGCGGUUUGUUUGUUCAAGGCUGUAAAGGUGUUGGUUAAAAAACAGGCUAUCUCUCCUUU